rnacentral:rRNA from 1 species
UUAUCGGAAUGAGAACAAUUCAAAUCCUUUAACGAGGAUCUAGCGGAGGGCAAGUCUGGUGCCAGCAGCCGCGGUAAUUCCAGCUCCGCAGGUGUAUAUCUAUGCUGCUGCGGUUAAAAAGCUCGUAGUUGGAUCUGCGUGCUCGGAACUGGUUGGCUCACUGAGUUCAAACUGGUCUCCGGCGCUUUAUUGGCUGGUUUUCCCUUGAUGCUCUUAACCGGGUGUCUUGGGUGGCUAGCACGUUUACUUUGAAAAAAUUAGAGUGCUCAAUACAGGCGUAAAGCCUUGAAUAGUGGUGCAUGGAAUAAUAGAAUAGGACCUCGGCUCUAUUUUGUUGGUUUUCGGAACGCGAGGUAAUGAUUAAGAGGGACAGACGGGGGCAUUCGUAUUGCGACGUUAGAGGUGAAAUUCUUGGAUCGUCGCAAGACGGACGACUGCGAAAGCAUUUGCCAAGAAUGUUUUCAUUAAUCAAGAACGAAAGUUAGAGGUUCGAAGGCGAUCAGAUACCGCCCUAGUUCUAACCGUAAACGAUGCCAACUAGCGAUUCGCAGGCGUUAAACAACGACCUUGCGGGCAGCUUCCCGGAAACGAAAGUGUUCGGGUUCCGGGGGAAGUAUGGUUGCAAAGCUGAAACUUAAAGGAAUUGACGGAAGGGCACCACCAGGAGUGGAGCCUGCGGCUUAAUUUGACACAACACGGGAAAACUCACCCGGCCCGGACACCGUAAGGAUUGACAGAUUGAGAGCUCUUUCUUGAUUCGGUGGGUGGUGGUGCAUGGCCGUUCUUAGUUGGUGGAGCGAUUUGUCUGGUUUAUUCCGAUAACGAACGAGACUCUGGCCUACUAAAUAGUGGGCGGAUUCUUUCUGUCCGCAACACUUCUUAGAGGGACAAGCGGUGUUCAGCCGCACGAGAUUGAGCAAUAACAGGUCUGUGAUGCCCUUAGAUGUCCGGGGCUGCACGCGCGCUACACUGAAGGAAUCAGCGUGCUUUCUGACCUUGCCCGAAAGGGCUGGGUAACCCGAUGAAAAUCCUUCGUGAUUGGGAUAGGGACUUGCAAUUAUUUCCCUUGAACGAGGAAUUCCCAGUAAGUGUGGGUCAUAAGCUCGCGUUGAUUACGUCCCUGCCCUUUGUACACACCGCCCGUCGCUGCCCGGAACUGAGCCGUUUCGAGAAGAACAGGGACCGUCGUUGAAGGGCCUUAACGGGCUUUUCUCUGAUAGAAACUGUU